rnacentral:rRNA from 1 species
CCUACGGGGGGCAGCAGUGGGGAAUAUUGGACAAUGGGGGGAACCCUGAUCCAGCCAUGCCGCGUGUGUGAAGAAGGCCCUCGGGUUGUAAAGCACUUUCAGUGAGGAAGAACGCCUGGUGGUUAAUACCCAUCAGGAAAGACAUCACUCACAGAAGAAGCACCGGCUAACUCCGUGCCAGCAGCCGCGGUAAUACGGAGGGUGCGAGCGUUAAUCGGAAUUACUGGGCGUAAAGCGCGCGUAGGUGGCUUGAUAAGCCGGUUGUGAAAGCCCCGGGCUCAACCUGGGAACGGCAUCCGGAACUGUCAAGCUAGAGUGCAGGAGAGGAAGGUAGACUUCCCGGUGUAGCGGUGAAAUGCGUAGAGAUCGGGAGGAAUACCAGUGGCGAAGGCGGCCUUCUGGACUGACACUGACACUGAGGUGCGAAAGCGUGGGUAGCAAACAGGAUUAGAUACCCGGGUAGUC